rnacentral:rRNA from 1 species
UACGGAGGGUGCUAGCGUUGUUCGGAAUCACUGGGCGUAAAGGGCGUGUAGGCGGUCUGUUAAGUCUGAUGUGAAAUCCCCUCGCUCAACGAGGGAACUGCGUCGGAUACUGGCAGACUCGAGUACCGGAGAGGAAGGUGGAAUUCCCGGUGUAGCGGUGAAAUGCGCAGAUAUCAGGAGGAACACCGGUGGCGAAGGCGGUUCUCUGGGCCGGUACUGACGCUGAGACGCGAAAGCGUGGGGAGCGAACAGG